rnacentral:lncRNA from 1 species
GUAAAGGCUUCUUUGUUGCAUUUGGUUAAUCUAAAAAAUGAUAACCUCUUUACGCUAGAUACGUAUCUCUGGUCUGACUGACAUGCUAGCUGCCGCAGAUUUACAGCUAAUAUGUUAAGGUAAUUUCUCAGGACAGUUCAUGCAAUUCAUAGGGUACCUUUUUGAUCAGAUUGAUCUAAAUAUUUAAUAGUCAUAACCUUCUGCUUGGUUUUGCUCCUCGGUUUCAAAGAAUAAUGAAGUGGCAUGACCUAGCGGGAACAGCAUAGUCACGAGAGCAAUGAGCUUUAUAUUUUCCCAACAAAUAUUUAUUGAGGGGCUGUGAGUAUAGCCCUGGCUUUAUUUAGUCAUGUUUCUCACUUUGCUGUUACCGAUGUCGGUUUCUACGUACACAUAAUUGAGAAAGGAAUGGAUUUUUGCCUGUUUAAAGAAAGUUGCUGUAGAGACAAACGAUGAAGACUUUUUGAUUGUCUGUCUUUCCCCUGUUCCAAUCAUGGUCGCUAUUGAGAAUCACUGCUGAUCAUCUGUCUGUACAGUUCUUAGCAUGGUUCCUGGUGCUAGGUGAGGGCCCACCACCCAUUUAAUUUCUGGUGGGUCUGGGGCAGGCAUCUGACACCCCACUUAUGAGGUUGAAGUCCACAUCCCCAGCAAGUCAUAUGUGUCCUACAAAAAAUAUGCUGGGCUACUCUGCAAGUGAGUACAAUUUCAGUGUGAAUUUCUUUUCAGUAAUUAGGAACUCAGUCCCAAGUAAAACUUUAAAGAGGCCAAGAAAAAGAGAAACGGAAAGUGAGGAGACACGAGUUUUGGAUGUGAGGAAUAAUCCUAGUCUAUCACGUGUGCUGUGCAUCCCUGGUACUGCAGAAGGUAUUUUAUGGCAGGAAAGAUCCUAAGAGUUAAUGCUGAAUUCCUAUGUGACAGAAGAGAAACAAUGGAGAUAAUUCAGAGCCUUGUCAUCAAGCUAACAAGGAGCUUCCAGAAAAUGCCGUGUGUGCACAUCUCCUGCAGCGGCUCCUCACUUUUCCCACGUCACUGACAUUUUGGGAGGAUCCGAUAAAGCUUAUGAAGCCUCUGCCCAAACAAGUGGCAUGUAUACCAUGGGGGCUCAUGGGCCACUUGGAGCUCAACUACGAAUCCACGAGUGGUUUAUGGCCCUCAGGUUAGAAAUUCUCUCCUCUUUGGAAUUUCUUUCACUGAAAGUGGAUGCA